rnacentral:lncRNA from 1 species
CAUGCUUGGAUCUGGAAGCUGUGAGAAAAAGCCCUGAGCUGUCUCCCUAAAUGGCUGUGUCUCCUGCAGUGGCUUGGUACCAUCAAGUCAGAUGAAGGACACAUUGGGCGAGGUGCCCAUCUACUGCCUGGAGAACAUGCCCAGGAGGCUGGAACCUGUUCCCUUUCAGAGAUGAAAUCCUGUCUUCUCAUCAACUCACAAGACAAAGAGGACUUUUCUGACAUCUAGCUGAAGGAGAGGGAUUGUUUCAAGUCUUGUGCAGCGGAAUUUCCCAUAGUUUGUUCUGUUGAUCCUUAGUUUUUCAAGAUGCCCAUAGGAAAAAAUAUUUUUGUGGUCAAGUCAGUUAUGGAAACCUCUGCCUUUGAGCUAUUUAUAGCUUCUUAAGGCAUAUUAGCAUGAACAUGUUCUGAGACUUCCUGUGUUGAAAAGAAACUCUGUUUAACUUUGUUUAGCUUAGUGAUUUCCAAAUUUGUUUGACCACAGAACCCUUUUUUGGGAAACAUUACUAAUAUUUCAUGGAACUAGUGGGCUACAGAAAACACAUGGGAUAUACUGAUGGACGGUGUUAGGAUGAUGGAUCAGAUGGAGAGUGGGAAGAACAAUGGAUUUAAAGUCACAGACCUAUGUUCAAGUCUAAUCGGCUGUUUACCAAAAAUGCAACAUUUUUUAGGGAGAUCUCUAAACCUCUCUCACUCUUGGUUUCCUCAUCUAAAAAUGGGAAAUAAUAAUAUUUAUUACACAGGGUGUUUGUGGGGAUGAAAGGACACAAUGUGGAAGAACAUGGGAGCAGGGCUUGGUUCAACUUCAAUUAAAUCAGACUCUUCUUGACAAGUAAACACUGGGACCAGAUGACAAUGGGAUACUGGCACAGAAGUGAUCUGCAGAAGUCUUGUUGCUGUCUACAUACACAUAUGUGUUCCAUGACUUCAUAUAUUGUUGGAAGUAGCAGCUUAUUGAUGGCUUGGGGUAUAGUUGAAAAGGAUAGGGGCCCUUCUAUAGCACCAAGUUGGCUGUCUUCAGUGUUGGUCAAGAUUAGCUGUCUUAAAGUCCAAAGGAUUGGACCGGCUAGAUAUUUUGUUGUACCUCAGAAAAAUUAUCUUAAUUUCCUAGAUAUUUUGUUGUACCUCAGAAAAAUUACCUUAAUUUUCUACCCUCUCCAAAUUUUUUCACCACAGAAUAUUUUUUUGGAGAAAAAUUAUCAAUAUUUUAUGGAACUAGUGGGCUAUAGAAAACACACAGGAUGUACUGAUAAAACACAGUAGUAAAACACAUUGGUUUAUGAAUGAUCUCUGUAUUAAACCAUCUGUACAUAUUGGUUUAAUAAAAGUUCAUUGCUAGAUCUAUCUGCUGAAUUUCCAUUCACCUUCAUUAAUGGAUGCUUUAAUUUGCAGUUCUCAAAAAGCUUUACAAAUGAAUUAGGGUAGACACAAAGCUGUGCCACCCAGAGCAUCUUCAGUGAUGUGCUGCACCCAAUAGCGAGGGGGACUUUCAACAGAGUCCCCAGUCCUCAGCUCAGGGAGGCUCCACCUCUGUCGCAGAAAGCGACCUUAUUGGACGUCACACCUCCUCAGGGUGGUUCACAUCCAGUGACUGAUCCAGGCAGGGGAA